rnacentral:rRNA from 1 species
UACAGAGGUCUCAAGCGUUGUUCGGAUUCAUUGGGCGUAAAGGGUGCGUAGGCGGCGCGGUAAGUCGGGUGUGAAAUUUCGAGGCUUAACUUCGAAACUGCGUUCGAUACUGCCGUGCUAGAGGACUGGAGAGGAGACUGGAAUUUACGGUGUAGCGGUGAAAUGCGUAGAUAUCGUAAGGAAGACCAGUGGCGAAGGCGGGUCUCUGGACAGUUCCUGACGCUGAGGCACGAAGGCCAGGGGAGCAAACGGG